CUUGCGGGCUCACCUUCUGCCUGCUCGAGCCCCAGGCGCCCGGGAUCAUCUGGGCAGGCAGACAACACCGGACGUGCGGGGAGCAGGAGCAGCAGCUGCGAUCUGAUUGCACACUCUCAUUAUGCAGUCUGUGUCACUAAUGGCCUGUGACAAAGGCUUGCCGGCUUCCAGGCCUUACCCCCGAGAGCCAAUUAAACACACACUCCCUUCCUGUGUGCAGCACAUUACAAUGAAAUUAAACGGAAUAUCAAAAUCA